rnacentral:lncRNA from 1 species
GCCAUAUUCGAGGACCAUGCAUCUAGUUUCCAAGGCCCCACUGUAAUUUUAAUAUAAUCACAUUCCCUCAGACCUCAAGGAAGAGCCCUCGUGUAUAUUUUUAAUUACAAGGUAAAUUCAGCUUCCAGCUUUGUUUGUUAUGAAACAGCUUGGUCAGAGUCACACGGCGGAGUCCUAGGAGCAGCCUAUCAGUCAACGAAGCUGGUGACCUCCAUCUGUGUGCAUGACUAACAUUCUCCCAGUGUGAUAAGCUGCAAACAAAAACCAGCCCCCAGUUCUUUAUCCUUCUUGUACCUCAGCCCCACGCAAUGCGAUACCCUCAAAGCAGGUAACCUGCUGCCCCACCCUUGGCAUCCAGCCGAUGGGGUGACUUCCUGUAACCAAUAAAAUGGGCAUAAGUGACACUGUGCCUGUCUUGAGCCUGAACUGUCUGA